rnacentral:rRNA from 1 species
UACGUAGGGGGCUAGCGUUGUCCGGAUUUAUUGGCGUAAAGAGCGUGUAGGCGGCCAGGUAGGUCUGCUGCGAAACUCGAGGCUCAACCUCGAGACGUCGGCGGAAACCAUCUGGCUAGAGUCCGGAAGAGGAGAGUGGAAUUCCUCGGUGUAGCGGUGAAAUGCGCAGAUAUCAGGAAGAACACCGUGGCGAAGGCGGCUCCUCUGGGACGGUACGUGACGCUGAGACGCGGAAAGCGUGGGGAGCGAACAGGAUUAGACUACCC